ACAGCAGUAGCCACGGGAAUACAAAGGAUGCAAGUGUUAUCCGGAAUGAUUGGGCGUAAAGCAUCUGUAGGUGGCUUUUCAAGUCCGCGUCAAAUCCCAGGGCUCAAUCCUGGACAGGCGGUGGAAACUACCAAACUGGAGUACUGUAGGGGCAGAGGGAAUUUCCGGUGGAGUAGUGAAAUGCGUUGAGAUUGGAAAGAACACCAAUGGCAAAAGCACUCUGUUAGGCUGACACUUACACUGAGAGACGAAAGCUAGGGGAGAAAAUGGGAUUAGAUACCCGCGUAGUCCCUGUCUCUUAUACA
rnacentral:rRNA from 1 species